rnacentral:rRNA from 1 species
ACGCUCGACACCUACGGGAGGCAGCAGUGGGGAAUAUUGCACAAUGGGGGAAACCCUGAUGCAGCAACGCCGCGUGAAGGAAGACGGUUUUCGGAUUGUAAACUUCUGUUCUUAGUGAAGAUAGUGACGGUAGCUAAGGAGCAAGCCACGGCUAACUACGUGCCAACAGCCGCGGUAAUCUGAGCGGGCUGGCAAGGC